AGAGACAGAGAGGUAGAUGAGUUCUCCGGCAGCGUGACGGCGCUCCGGAGGUUGGUGGUGAUCUAAUCUCAGCAGGGCUCCGCCCGAGCUCCGCAGAAACGUGAUCUAGAGGUAAAACCGUGGAGGUAUGUGGUCGGGCUGCCGUGGUAAAAGUUGUCCCAAAUCAGCCAUAAAACCCCACUAUAUAUAGGAGGGAGGGAGGGGAGGAGGCAGCCUCAAAACAUAAAGGUUUGGCCGAAAUUGGAGGUGGAGGAGUCUUACUCCAAUCCUACUUGGAGUAGGAUUCCACCUUCCCACUUGGAAACUCUUUCCACCUUGUGUUUUUUCCUUCUCAAACCUUAUGGGCCUUAGUGGGAACUUAUUCCAGCCCACUAGGGGCUGGUUUAUCUCUUUCCAUAGCCCAUGAUACCCCUUGGGGCGUGACACCCCUCCUGAUGGUCCCCGGCACCCCUCCCGGCACUCCCAGUACACUACCGAUGAGCCCGAAACUUUUCCGGUAAUGCACGAAAACCUUCCGGUAACCAAAUGAGGUCAUCCUAUAUAUCAAUCUUCGUUUCCGGACCAUUCCGGAAACCCUCGUGACGUCCGUGAUCUCAUCCGGGACUCCGAACAACAUUCGGUAACCAACCAUAUAACUCAAAUAUGCAUAAAACAACAUCGAACCUUAAGUGUGCAGACCCUGCGGGUUCGAGAACUAUGUAGACAUGACCCGAGAGACUCCUUGGUCAAUAUCCAAUAGCGGGACCUGGAUGCCCAUAUUGGAUCCUACAUAUUCUACGAAGAUCAUAUCGUUUGAACCUCAGUGCCAAGGAUUCAUAUAAUCCCGUAUGGCAUUCCCUUUGUCCUUCGGUAUGUUACUUGCGCGAGAUUCGAUCGUCAGUAUCCGCAUACCUAUUUCAAUCUCGUUUACCGGCAAGUCUCUUUACUCGUUCCGUAAUACAAGAUCCCGCAACUUACACUAAGUCACAUUGCUUGCAAUGCUUGCGUGUGAUGUUGUAUUACCGAGUGGGCCCCGAGAUACCUCUCCGUCAUACGGAGUGACAAAUCCCAGUCUUGAUCCAUACUAACUCAACGAACACCUUCGGAAAUACCUGUAGAGCAUCUUUAUAGUCACCCAGUUACGUUGCUACGUUUGAUACACACAAAGCAUUCCUCCGGUGUCAGUGAGUUAUAUGAUCUCAUGGUCAUAGGAACAAAUACUUGACACGCAGAAAACAGUAGCAACAAAAUGACACAAUCAACAUGCUACGUCUAUUAGUUUGGGUCUAGUCCAUCACAUGAUUCUCCUAAUGAUGUGAUCCCGUUAUCAAGUAACAACACUUGCCUAUGCCAGGAAACCUUGACCAUCUUUGAUCAACGAGCUAGUCAACUGGAGGCUUACUAGGGACAGUGUUUUGUCUAUGUAUCUACACAAGUAUUAUGUUUCCAAUCAAUACAAUUAUAGCAUGGAUAAUAAACGAUUAUCAUGAACAAAGAAAUAUAAUAAUAACUAAUUAUUAUUGCCUCUAGGGCAUAUUUCCAACAUAUACAGCAUAUGGCGCACACACUCAAGGAUCUUAGCCAUAUCUGCCCACGCGAGGGAUUAGGAUGCCCGAGGAGAAUUGUUGGGAUGAGACAAGCGAGGGAGCACAAAGCUACAACAGCGGUCAGGUAUGUACAAUUAUAAUAAGCAAUUACAUAACUUUUAUUUACACAUCCUUUAUUUACACACAGUUUAUUUUAAACACAAUUUUUCGACGCAGGAAAUUAAUGAUCCAUCAUGGGGAGAUGAACAUACCCAGCGUGACGUACAGAAAGAAAUACUCACAGAAACCCAUGAUACUCAAUGCACGCUCCGAGGAAUGAUAAAUGAUUUUUUCGGGCAGGACGUUAUUGGUCCAUCUUAUAUCAAUUAUGAGUCAGAGCCAUUCACCUACAAUUUAUAAUCAUCGUCUCAAUAUGGAUUUCAGACUCCACCACCUAUGCAUGAGUCGUAGACACAGGAACACGAGGGACAGUACGGCCGUGGUCUUCGUGAACACAGACCCCCUGAACGAUUGUCACCCUCCGGUCGUCGGGCAAGGCCAGCUGGUCGUCGUCGCAUAGGGUGAUUCGUCUAUGUAUGUGUGCGAACUAUUGCAUCUCUCUAUGUCAGUUUCAAACUUUCAGAUGUACGUACAAGACAUCUAUGUAGUUUCAUGAAAUAAAAGUUCUCGAUAUAUUUCGACGUAGUUUUCCAAUUUAAAGUUGCUUCCAUAAAAUAAGAUACAUAAAAUAAGAUACAUAAAAUAAGAUUCAUAAAAUAACAUACAUAAAAUAAGAUACAUUAAGAUGUAGAGUUCAUAAAAAAACUACAUAAAGUCGUCGUCAUCCUUCGACGAUGCAGAGCUCUGCCCUUUGACGAAGCGCUACUCUUGACCUUCGUCGAUGAUGCGAUCUUGGCCUUCGUCGAUGAUGCGCUCUUGGCCUUGGUACUCGGCAUGAAGAUAUCGUCUUCGUCCUCACUAUCGUCAAUCCAUGAAAAGGGAUGUUUUACUCCACCUCCACCGCGUAUGUGUUGGCCUUUCUUCUUCCAUCUUUCAUUCAACCGCAGAAGUUCUUUCCGAAUCUCCUCAUAUGUCCUUGCAGGCCAUCCCUUCCUAGCUAAUGCGUGGGCAACCUCAUUCAGUAGCGUGUCACUAGUGAUGAGUUCGUCCCAUGAAACUAAUCUAUUAUCUAUCUUGAAAUUGCUAGCUAAGCGCAGAAGACACUCGGACAUACCACUGUGAAAACUACGAUCGAAAGGAUAAUGAGACAUUUUCAGGACACUCCUUACCCACCUUGGUCUGGAGGGGGUUUUAUAGGUGCAGCAGAGCGAGACGGAUAACUAAUGGCAGGAAAACGAGGAGGGAAAGCGAGGCGGGAAAGCGAGGGCGGGAAAGCGAGGCGGGAACAAAAUGGCGGCAAAGCUAUACGCGGGAACAAAAUGACGGGAAAGCGAGGCGGGAAACAAAUGGCGGGAUAAAAUGAACAUACACGUAGCUGAAAUUAAGAUACCCAUUGCGGAAAUGAAGAUACAACUUGCCGAAAUUAAGAUAGACAUUGCUGAAAAUAAGAUACAAUUUGCCGAAAUUAAGAUACAACUUGCAGAAAUUAAGAUACAACUAACACAAAUUAACAUACAAUAAAAUAAAUCUACUGAGUCCAACGUGGAUAUUUUCCUUUUCCAUCACCAGCUUCUUCUGCUGCCUUGGCGGCACGAGCCCUUUAUCUCUUUCUCUCCCUCUCAGCUUCACGGGCCUGUUCCCGCUAUCUGUAAACCUCCUCCAGCCGAAGUUUCUCUUCUUGAUUUUUCCUUAUCAUCUCAUCAAGAAAAGUCCUCUGCUCCACACAGUAAUCUUCCCACUCUUUCUUCUGCUCUGCUUUCUCCUCUGCUUCAGCCUUCUCACGACGCUCUUCCAAGUCCAAGCUAGGCCAUGCACGGCGACCUCUUUCAUGAAUCUCGGUCACCGCCCAGUCCGGCAUUUCCGUGUCAAUCCAACGAUAGUACAUGCAGAGAGGAGGAGGAGACUAAAGGAUGGAUCAGAUUCAGGUAAACAAUAAUAUCAAGUAAACAAUAAUCUGGAUGACUUGAGCAUACCGGAGGCCUGACGUACGCAGAAAUAGAUUCGGGUGGAUCAGAUUCAUAAUUGGCGCACAUGAAAAACUUCAUGCCUAACCAAUCUGAAAAAUCCGUCACCUCCUUCACCUUGCAGACAUCUCCGCACCAACAUCGAACUGCUUCCACCCCCCGAGACAAGCUUGCACUCUGCAUUUUCCUAGGCCUAAUGCUCUGAUCCGAACAAGGCAAACUCAUACUGACUAUGGAGGUGCAGGUGCUUUGAAGUCUGGCUGAUGGUGAAGAGAGUUUCACUCCCUGCCUCCUUUUAUAGGCUCUGCCGGAUGUCUACGCGGGAAAAAACGACGCGAAAACGAGAAACUUCAGCGGGAAACUUAGGCGGGAAAAAAUGCACUGCUCGUCCGUCGUUAUCGCGUGCAUGUGGCGGAAACAAAUACAGCAGACAGCCUCAGUUAGUGCAAUCAGCCUUUAGGCCCUGCUUGGAAUGUCGUUCUAUUUUUACAAGUGCAAUACUUUACAAAGGUCUGUAUUAUUUUUACAAGUGUAGUCCCUCCGUUCCUAAAUAUAAGUCCUUUUAGAUAUAUUAGUAGAUGACUACAUACAAAGCAAAAUGACAGAAUCUACAUUCUAAAAUGAGUCCAUAUACAUCCAUAUGUAGUCUUCUAGUACAAACUCUUAAAAGACUUAUAUUUAGGAAAUCUCCCUCCGUAAAAAAAACUCCCUCCGUUCCUAAAUAUAAGGCAUUUUAAGGAUUGUACUAUAAACUACAUACGGAUGUACAUAGACAUACUUUAGAGUAUAGAUUCACUCAUUUUGCUCCGUAUGUAGUCUCCUAGUGAAAUACCUAAAAGGUCUUAUAUUUUGGAACGGAGGGACUACAUCCAAAGCAGGGCCUAAUACCGCAUGCUUGUGGCGGGAAAAUUUAGAGCGGGAAUUUUUUUAGAGCAACUGCGCUGACUCCGAGACCCAUUCACGCAGGAACCGGGAUUCCCGGCCGGCCGCCUGGGGCCGAGGCGCCAGGGCCCACCUCUCUGUCGCCGUUACGUUGCAGCGGCGCGGGAACGGGAUCUGGCGUCGGCCGCCUGCGCCCCGCCGCCUCAGCCGGUGGCGGCAGGUGGCACGUGUCGCCUGACGCACCUGCCGCCAGGGAGGGGUGGGGUCUUUUUCGUCGAUUGCAGCCACAGGUGGUCCUUUUGGACAAAUGCACUCGGCAAGUGGUCCUUUUGGACAAAAAUUCCCGAUCGGAUGGUCAAUUCAAAAGAAAUAAGAGGACCUACCCGGUGCUAGCACCAUUUCAGAAUGAUCUGCAGACUGCAGUGGUUGCUACCCGUAAGAGCAUCUCCAACAUUUUGUAUGUUUAAUCGUUAUUAUAAGUGUCCACGUCAGCAGCCAACAGCACAUCAUACAAGUUCUUCAAUGAAGUGUAUGUUAACCAUAUGUAAAAUAACUAAGCGGGUCCACUAAAUGUUGAAGAAAUGACCAUGUUUGCCUCGGAGCUUGUGCCUGAACCGUUGCUUCAAGUUCAUACGAUUUCAUUCUCUCUCUUCUUUUAUUAUGUUUCAUGUCAUCAAAAUCAUCCACUCCUAUGUGGCAAUUUUACCAACGGUGAUCAUACGACUAUUGGAGAUGCCCUCAGGGCAUCUUCAGCAUCUUCAAUGGUUGUAUGAUCAUCGUUGGUAAAAUUGUCGCAUAGAUUAUUUUAAUGACAUGGCGCAUAAUAAAAGAAGAGAGAGAAUGGAAUCGUAUGAACUUGAAGCAACGGUUCACGCACAAGCUCCGAGGCAAGCAUGGUUAUUUCUUCCAUGUUUAAUGGACCCGCUUAGUUAUUUUACAUACGAUUCACAUACACUUCAUUAAAGAGCUUGUAUGAUGUGUUGUUGGUUGUUGAUGUAGACACUUAUACCAACGAUUGAACAUACGAACUGUUGAAGAUGCUCUUAAGCAUGCCUUGGUUCAUUUACCAAGACACCGAUGAAAAAUUAAAGCAGCAUAUAUGCACGGAUUCCAGGUAACAUCACGUGCCUGUCCCACAUCUCCAACUUAACCUACGUAAUAAAAAUUCAGUUGCUACCAAGAAAGAGAGUGUCAACUCCUUGCAACUGCUACGGACAACUACUCGUUUCCAACACAUGGUAACAACAAGAGCAUACCAAGCCAUGAGUGUUUUCAGCAGGAAAAACCCAACCCAAACCUGGUUUAGUAUAUUUCGGCUCAAGCUUCCACUCUGAAAUCAGACCCAAUUUCUAGCUAAAGCAACUGAUUAUACACUUUCUCGCAUGAGACGGAGCUAUAAAUUUACCGACUGAUGAUAUGAACCAUCUUGGUGAAUCAAACAGAAACCUGCAGUCUACAGCGAAGAAUGUACUGAGUUUCAAUCAUCCUGACAUUAGAAACGGCUAGCUAAAAAAUAAACGGCCAAGUGUGAACUUGCUUCAAGACAGGGUUGCUACUGCUAUUUUUAAUUUGAUGCAAAUUCAAUAGUGCCAUUGCAAAGCAUGUGAAUCUUGCCUGCAACAAGCACAACUAUAUAAUGUGUGUUUCUCCUGCUGUCUACGCUGACAAAGUGACAAUGUCAACCUUAAAAUCAGGACGCUAUUCAAACAGGUCAAAACCUCGGAACGAGAACUACUGUUCAGAAAAUGAAUAGCCUACUCUAAACAAGCCACAAAUUAUUCGAGUAAUUUUAUCACAACAAGACGCUGAGCACAGACCAAGAAUAUAGCCAUUUCUCAUGUUGGCCAGCACGCAAUAUCAUAUAUGUUUUGUCAUAUAACUCACAAGUCAUAUCAAAGAUAACAGGUCUUUUGUCUCGGAUCUGAUUUAGCAAGAAAUGGCAACGAAAUCAUAGCCAGAUAAUCAAAAGGCUUUGUUUUAGGGAGCUCAAUAAUUUAAGUUAUGUCAUAUCUAUUUGACAAAAAAUACAAUAAAAUAGUGUUCAGUUGGAAGCCAAAAGCCAAACAGGGGCAAUGCAUUUUGCUAAAAUCAAGUCUAGAAAAGGUAAAAUAUUUGUUACCUGCUUCUUGGAGAAGUUAUAGGCUUAUAGCACUUCCUUCAAAUACUAUUUACCUACAGAAGAAAUUGUCAAACUGAUAGGUACUUAGGUGAAAGAAUGUACAUCACACUUAUCAUUUGAUCAAACAUUGCUUCAGCUGCCGCCUCCUAGAGAGCCUCUAUCUUCAGCUUGCUGAAGAAAAGGAAUAAUCAACACUGACAUGUUUUGCAAUUCAUAUAAAACCACAUUCCAGAAUAAGCAACAACGCACAUGUAAUCACUGAGACUGAAUCCUGAAAUAAAAGCAAAAGCGCUAACAAAACAAGAAAUGACAACAACAACAACAACAACAAAGCCUUUAGUCCCAAACAAGUUGGGGUAGGCUAGAGGUGAAACUCAUAAGAUCUCGCGAUCAACUCAUGGUUUUGGCACAUGGAUAUCAAGCUUCCACGCACCCCUGUCCAUGGCUAGUUCUUUGGUGAUGCUCCAAUCCUUCAGAUCUCUCUUUACAGACUCUUCCCAUGUCAAGUUCGGUCUACCAAAACAAGAAAUGACAACUUGGAGAAAUAUUCCAAACAAUAACGAGACACAAGUACAUCUCACCACACCCAAAUGGAAUAUAUUUUUGCGCAUAUGAGCAUCAGGAACCUCGCAUCCUUUUUUGUCCACACAUCCCUAGUUAUUAUUGUUAGAACAACUAGUGUAGAGAGAAACCUUAAGCCUUGAAGUCCAAUCACAUGCUAGCAAGUGCUAGAUCACAACACAAAAAAGAACUACUAUGCAUCACAAUGUCAUUACAGAAGUUUCAGAGAGAUGUAUCAUGUCUGAACAGAAAGUACCGAUAAGAAUUCGAUUAUUUCCCAUGGUGAUAUGAUCUUCAAUGAAUAUCCAUGGUUUAACCAGUAUUACAUGGCACAGCUUACACCUUGAUGAGAAUUGAGAGAUAUAUAGCAAUCAAUGAAAUGAAUGAAUUACUUGAAAGGUCAGUAGCUAUGUUGGACUUGCAAACUAAAUGCUCGGAGCUGACAACUGUUAUAGCUGAGUCAACCAUUCCAACAUCAUGACUGGAUGCUACUUCUUAGAAGCAGCCUUUAUCCGUGAUAUGAGGCUUUCCCCAGCAUCACCCAAGCCAUCCAAUCCCACGAGUUUUGUCCCAAAAUCUCGGUACAGUGUACUCAACCGCUGCUCGUCGCCUUCCAUUGCAGCUAGCUCAGUUACAUUCUUCCGCAUUAUUAGGCCGUACAGGAAAAGUGAACCAGAGCCUAACUUUCUGGCACCAAUUCCAACACGCAGCAAUGAUGCUGAAUCAGGUUCAGAUAUAGAUGGGUCAUGCAGAACUGAGAAGCCACCAAAAGCAACAUCAGGGGUGCGAAAGAGAUCAUCCAAAUCAAUGUUGUCAUCUUUAACAAUAUCUCUGACUUCAUAAAUGAUAUCUAUUUUCUCAGAUGAGUCAACCUUUUUUGCUCUCUUUCUAGCGGCUCUUACAAUAUUGGCAGCCUCUCUGUACCCACUAAGCAGAGCUCCAUGCAUUGUUGCAGGGUACCGCCUAUUUGUUGCCUCCCCAGCGAAGAAGACUCUAUCAGCAACACUCUCAGCCAAAAUAUCAUAAUCAUCACCAGAUGACCCAAUAGCCACAUGGGAAUAUGAUCCAUAUGAAAACCUGUCAGUGCCCCACCGAGUGCAUAUUGCCUGCAGUGGGUUUGGUACCUCGAUCCCCAUGGGUGAAAAGAUUUUUUUAAGUGUGUCUAACACCUUCUCAACAUUUUCCAUUGGUGACUUCUUCUCAAAACUGAUAGCAGAUUCCCCAGCAACAAGGGCAACAAGCAGUGGACCUCCUGAGACUGAAGAAUAGCUAUAGAACAGGAAAAAUUCACCUCGUUGACUAGAGUCCUCAGUCAAAUGCCCAAAUGUAUCAAUCCUGCCAUCCCAGAAGUCAAAAGGGAAUAACAUCACAACCUUAUUAAGAAGCCCAAAACCCAAUCUCUGAAUGGCCUCUCGUUUCUGAGCUGGCAGCUGCGGCACAAAAUCAAUGUCCCCCUUCUUAAGCACACCAAGGGGAACAGUGCAGAGCGCCAUAUCACCACGGAAUGUCUGCUUAUCAGUGUAGACCAACACACCAUCACACCCAUACUGUAUCCUUCGCACAUUCUGUCCAUAGAAUAUCGGGACACCAUCAGCAAGCGCUCGGACAAAUUGGGAAUUGCCACCAGGUAUAAAGCAAUGGUCACCACCCAUUUCGUAUGGAUCAUCCUGGUCCCAGAAGGCCAUGGAGAGAUCAGCAAGAGGAGCGGCAUUGGCAUACUCCAGGUUGGCCAGAUGCCAAUCAAGAAGCAUCCGUUCCUCUGGCUCAGCGGCAACACCAUGCGCUGCCCGGAAUGCCUCGAGUGCCAUGCCAAGUGACACAUCCACACCGUGUGGGACACUAUCUGCGAUAACCUGCCGCAGCUGGCAAACCUUGUCAAGAAGCUGGUUAAAGGCAGCUUCAACACGACCAUCCAUGUCAGGGUCGACUGGGCGGCCAUCCGGAAGAUACAACGGGCACUUGUCCCGCACCUUGUGAAGUGGGAACCCAAGCUGCCGCGCUAUGACACCAAGGGGAUUCCCAUUAAUACCAGUGAGCACACUGCCUCCCAGAUCAGCAGAAGCAGCAAUGUCAGGAUAGUCUGCAGCAGAGGACCUCAUUGUCUUAGUAAACACACGGCCACCUGGGCGGAGUCGGCCUUCGACAAUGGCAACCUUGAAGCCAAGGGACAUAAGGUGGCGUGCGGCGGCGAGGCCAGCAAAGCCAGCACCUACAAUGAGGACAGAAGGGGGAGGAUGGGAGGGAGGGGGGAUUGGGGGUAGGGAGACAAUGGAGGGGGCGAGGCCAAAAUUGAUGUAGGCAUGGUCCGACAGGAAAGAGUGUGCAGCGGCGACGAGGGGCGCGUGCUCGGCGCGAAUGGAUGCGAGCGCGGCGUUGGACGCAACGGGGGAGAGGGGAUUAGAGCGCCAGAGCGCGAGAAUAUGGUUACGUACGACGAGGUAGUUGGCCUGGUCCGUGCCACCUAUAACUGGGAUGACGGCGGCGGCUACCUCGUCCUCGGAGAGGGUGUCCGCGGGGAAUCCCGCCGCGAGCGCGAUGGUGGCCUCGGAAUCCAGCUCCCGCGCCAGGCGGAGGGAGGAGUUGGUAGGCGGGCGCCCGCGGCGGCGCGGGAUGCCGGCGAGAUGCGCCGCGGUGGCCCCCGACGAGGAGGAAGCGCGGAGGACGCGGACGCCGGCCGUGGGGAUCAUGCCGGGGAACUGCUUCUUGCGGCGGCGGCGCUUCCGCGCGACGGUGGAGUCAUCGACGGCCGCGGUGGUGGAGGGGGCGGACGGGGUCGGGGAGGACGUGGGCGCGUCCUCCUCCAUGGGCUCCGCGGACGCCGCGGCGUCUCCCCCGGCCGCGUCGUCCUCCAUGGGCUCCGCGGCGGCGGCCGCCUCGUCCUGCUCCAUUGGGACGAGAGCUAGAUGCCCCGCGGCUUCGGGCGCGUCAGGCGGUGGUUGCGCCUCGUUGGCUUCGUCCAUUGGGGUUUCCGGGGAUGGAUGCGGCGAGCUCGGCGACUGGAUUUGGGAAUUGGGAGGAGGGUUCAGGGGUUGGUUUAGGGCCAGAACUGUGCGGUGGCCAAGAGAGGGUCGGGACUCGGGAGGGAAGAGCCCCAUGGAAUUAUUUUUCCGUAUAACAUGAAUGAAAGCGUACUUUGCUUCUCCGUUACCGUGCAUAGUUGAUGCAAUCCGUUCCCUCUCCCCUCUCCCUCUCACACGCGUGACCAUAGGCGACCCGUGUCCUCACUCACUGUGUCGAUGAGGCCAUGGGUUCUCUCAUCUCCAAGCAUACCCAUAUUUGCUCUCAAUACCCAAAAACUGUUUUUUUGAAUAUUGGAGGCAAAAAACUAGCUCCAAGAACAUACCCAUGAAUGGUCCUCACAAAAUUUUUUUUUGGGUCACUACCCAGAAUUGGCAUAUAUGGGUAUUGUGGGGCAAAUACCCAUCUGACCCAAAAUCAGCGCGGGGAGUACCAACUGCCCGAGCGGAAACUUCCCCGACUCCUCCCUGACCCCCGCCUGCACGACCCCUCCCUGACCCCCACCUCCCUCCUCCGGCCACCGGCGAGCACGGACGCCGCCGCAUCGAGCCGCCCGUCCGCCGCAUCGAGGCCCCGUCGCCCGGCGCGGGGCGGCCGAUUCUCGGCGCCGGCGACUCUCCCUCCGCCUUCCCGACCUCCAGCACGCCUCCUGGACCUCCGCCCCACCUCCAGGACCUCCACCCCGCCUCGGCCGGCAGCGGCGAGCUCACGCGGCGCCAAGCUCGUGCGGCAGCCGACGACCUCACCGCGGCAGCAGGAGGAGCGGCGUGCGGCCGCGUCCGCUUGCCCGAAGUCCUCACCGCCUCCCUCCCCACGUCCCCGACAGCCGCCGUGUCCCCGACGCCCUCGCCGGCGCAAAUCGCCAGAGAUUGAGUAUGAGUUGAAUGGACACAAGUACACGAAGGGAUAUUAUCUUGCAGAUGGGAUUUAUCCACAGUGGGCAACAUUUGUCAAGCCCAUUCCUAACCCUCAAGGUAAGAAACAAUCUCGUUUUCAUAGUGCUCAAGCAACCGCUAGAAAGGAUGUGGAGAGGGCAUUUGGGGUUUUGCAAGCCCAAUUUACUAUUGUUCGUGGACCGGCUAGGUUUUGGGACCAAAAAACCCUAGGGAGGAUCAUGACGGCUUGUGUGAUAUUGCACAAUAUGAUCAUCGAGAACGAGCGUGGUCAAGAUUUUGAUCACCACUACGACUUUAUGGGGCGGGUGGUGAAUCCUCGUAGACGUGCUGACCGCGUGAGUCACUUCCUUCAAGUUCAUCAUGAAAUUAGAGAUGCAGAUACUCAUCGACAACUAAAAGAAGAUCUCAUCGAGGAGUGGUGGAAGUGGAAUGGAGAACAAGAUACUUGAGUUCGUAUUUCGAUUGCUAAUUCGGUUUCGUUUGACAUUUGUGUUUGAUUUGAUGAACAUUGUGUUGUAAUAUGCACUAUUUGUUUGACAAUUUGAGAAUUUUAAUUUAGCACGUUUGAAUUGAUUGUAUUUGUGAUUCGGUUGCAUUUGCACAAAUAGAACUAGAAGCACAAAGAAUGGGCUAUCAAGUUUUUGGGUAUCCAAAUAUGGGUAAGCUUGAAAAGCAGAAUUUUUUUUGGAUACCCAAACCUUCUCUCUCCUCUACCCAUAAUGGUUUUGACUACCCAAAAUAUGGGUAUGCUCUUGGAGAUGCUCUUACGCUCAUUGCGUCCUUGAUAGCAUGGUGGGGAAACCAUGCCUCUUUGUGCUUCACUUGUAUAGUUGGAGUUAGGUUUUGUGUUUUUCGCGACGUGCGACGAAGCCUGAGCAAACUCUAUCGUAACCAGACAUAUUCAUUUUUCCCAUGUAAUUUGGAAGGUACUUUUUGUGCUAUUUAAUAGCUUAGAUGGUAUGUCACUGUCAGAGUCCAUACAACUGCCUAGAUUGUCGGGGUUGUAUCUCUCUCAUUGUCACAACUGUGUUUUGACGCUGUCGCCGUCUAAGACUUCUUUGAUCCCAACUCCAUCUCGACAAUGUCCUAUUGACGAGGUUGAGGGGUACGUGAAAACCCAAUUUUGUUGUUCCUUUGGCAUGACGGAUCUCGUGUUCAUGGGAUGUGUGCAGUUGUCCUCUCGAGCAAUAUUAGAGAGGAGACAAAGAUAUAAGAAUAAGGUAGGGGGUCUAAGGAUGAAGGAUCUGAUGAUCUGCCUCGACAAUGUGUGCCACAUGUGGAUGUAAACCAAUUUAUUUCAUAAAAACCUACAUAUCCAUUUCGAUAUUGCUACUAAUCCAUAAUUGAUUUAAAUGGUUUCAAAAACCUUUCUUAAACUCUUUACCACGGGGAAUUGGGCCAAUCAUGGACCAAAUCAUGUGCAUAUAUGUAAGGGAGCAAAGAGUAGAUAAGGAGAUCAAGUGGAAAGUGCAAGAGAACCAACAAAGUGUAAGGCGGCCAUCCAUAUGUGUUCACACGCUCGUAUGCACGGUCGUAUGAGGUGCCGACGGUGCCGCCUCGUCCAAACCUACAAAUAGCGUUAAAGGGUCAACGCUAGAUGAGAAAUAGAUCAUUCGUCAGACUUCCAUCUUCGCCAUCCACAACAUCCAAAAACCCUAGUCGCUGCCAUUUUCCAUUUCCAUCCCCAUAGCCAUCUCACCACCAUCACCGCAUCAUUCAUCCUAGUUAGCCAUGCCUUUUAAUUGUGUAUCACCAUUGACAACUAUUGUAAGACAUAAUAUCAAUCAAGUAUUCCUCUUAAUGUGUUCUUCAAUGGUUUUUUCUUGCGAUCUAAUCGCAAUGUGUGAGUAAUUUGGCAAGGUUAUGGUUGGAGGGAUCGAUGGAUUUACUUUGAACUAACGUCUGGUAUGUGUGAAAUAAAAUUGCUUUGUAGUUGUCUCUUGUCUUGUUCGCUAUCUGAUUCCCUCUAGGUACCUAGGAUCACGGAUAUCGAGCUACGGAGAGGAUAAGGGAAGAAAGAUCGUGAAACACUUUUGAACACUGGUGGUUGAGAAGUUUAGUAUGGUAACAUGAAUCAUAUCUAUGGGUAUAUAAUAGGUGUAGUCAUUAAAGUCCAAUGCUUUUGUCUGAUCCUAUCUUAAUUAACGAGGCAACCCUACACGAUGGAUAUGGCCUUUGGUUGGACAACUGACUCCCAAUGCAAGACGUGUUUCGGUCAAGACGUAAUUUGGACACAUCCCCCAUUUCGAUACAUUUCAAGCACAUCUUGACGGGUGUCUUCCAAGGCAGAAAUUAAUAUCACCCCAUUCACAACUAUAUGGUUGUAAGAAUAAGUCCUCAUACACAUGUCAAUUUUUAUUUAUAAGUGCUCAUUGUGCAACUCGAUUUUGAUCCGGUCCAAAAAGUGUAAUUUAAUACUAUUGCAUUGUUAGAAACCCUUGUCUUCGAGGUGCACUUCCACUUGUGGUUUCGAUAAAUCAGGGAUGUGGGAAAAAAGCAAGAAUCAUUUGUGCUCCUUCACCAGAUCACUUAAAGGGAUGGAUCAGUGGUUGGUCUAGGAUUCGGGGAGCAUGGGGGUGAUCCUUAACUGGCACACAACAACAACUUUGGCUCCACUCACAUCACUCUUCUUGGGAUCAUGAAGCGCUCAUGGUCGAUGGUGCUCGCUCGUGCUCGACGCUAGCUAGUGGUGAUGACGACAAUUGUAGAAAUAUCCGAGGGUUUCAUUUGAAUAUGUAUUCUGGUGGUUUUCCUUAAAUGGUUGUGGAAAUGUGUCCUCUCCCAGUGUCUCGUGGUUUUGUGUGGAUGUGUUCUAAGUUGACAUUUUUUAAUUGGCACGCGUACAUUUCUCAAAAAGAAAGGUUAAGCUAGUGUGUAACUCAUUCUUACACAUGGCAACUAGACUUGUACUCCAUCCGUCUCAAAAUAAGUGACUCAAAAAUGACUCNNNNNNNNNNNNNNNNNNNNNNNNNNNNNNNNNNNNNNNNNNNNNNNNNNNNNNNNNNNNNNNNNNNNNNNNNNNNNNNNNNNNNNNNNNNNNNNNNNNNNNNNNNNNNNNNNNNNNNNNNNNNNNNNNNNNNNNNNNNNNNNNNNNNNNNNNNNNNNNNNNNNNNNNNNGAGUCAUUUUUGAGUCACGUAUUUUGGGACGAAGGGAGUAGUUGAUAAAUUUCUAUUAAAGAAGUGCCUAAUCAUCAUGCUUGGUUUAGGGUAUCGACGGGAACUCUCUGUAGGGGAAGAUAAAACCCUUAGCCACAAGGAAUCGGUCUUGAUCUUCCCUAAUAAUAAAGCGCGGAGCGCUUCUGCCGUCCAUCAUGGCACUUUUACAAAAAAAACUUCUAUUUUGUUGAAAUCAACCCGCAGUCCCUUCCUAAGUGGAUCUGAGAAAACGCUUCAUUGUUUCAAAAAGCCCCCUACAUUUGUAAGAAUUUCAAUCGCGAUCCUUUAUCUCAUCUUAUCCAGACGCUCCAUCUCCAGCACCGGCGAGGUGACGGGCGACGCGGUGGCAUCGUGGGGCGGCCUUCCGGCGAGGCAGGAACAACCGUAGGUCGGGGAUGCACAGUUCCCUCCAUUUCUCGGCUGAAUUCGGCGACAGCUUGAGGUCCGUCGAGCUGGAGCUCGCGGGGGCCCAGCCGCGCCCGCCCCGUCCAGUGCGCGGCCGUCUCUGCGCUGUUGUCGUCGUCGUCGUCCGCAUCUCCGUCUGCCUCGGCCGUCCCGGCAGAGCGGCUGGAGCCGUGGGUGGAGCAGCGGGAGGGCGGCUACUGGGUGCUCACGGAGAAGUACCGCACCAGCCUGAACCCGCAGGAGAUUCACCAGCGCCAUGUCUCGCCGCGACGCACCGUCCUGCCGAAACGCGUUGCCGGCGGUCUCAUGGUCGUCGAGCAGGUGCAAGCACAACUCCAGGUUAUGAGACCCCACCCAGCGGGAGAGUCCUUGAGGUGCGGCGACUUGGGGACAUUCAGCACGAGUUCGUGGCCGACGUGCACGUACGCGGACGCCUGUCGGAGGCCGGCCAGCGCCCACAGGCCGCCCACCACUCCGGCGACGGAGGUCUCGAGCGUCGUCCGGGGGAGGAGCGGCACGAGGACACCGACGUACUUGUCUUAUCUCAUUUUUCUGCAGUUGGCUUGGUUAAUGUGUGCUUCGUGGUAAAGAUGACAGAUAAUGGUAAAGAAAAGUCAGGCUCAGGAGCAGCAUAUACAAUCAAUCUAGAGAUCUUCAGUAAGCGGCUUAAGGUGUUUUAUGACCAUUGGAAUCGAAACAAGUCUGAUCUUUGGGCUUCUUCUGAUGCCAUUGCAAUUGCUACCCCGCCUCCUUGUGAGGAUCUCCAUUAUUUGAAAUCCACUGCUCUGGAUGUUUGGUUACUUGGAUAUGAAUUUCUAGAAACCAUAAUUGUCUUUAUGCAGAAGCAGAUACAUUUCUUAUGCAGCCAGAGGAAAGCAAAUCUCAUUGGAAACCUCAAGGAUGCUGCAAGUGAGGCUGUUGGUUCUGAUAUUGUCUUGCAUGUGAAGAGCAAGAAUGGGGAUGGCAUUGACCUGAUGGAUGAAAUACUGUAUGUUGUUUCUGCUCAGUCGAAAUCUAACACUCCAGUUGUUGGUCACAUUGCAAAAGAGGCACGGUAAGCUCCUUGAAACAUGAGCCAAUGAUCUGUCUUUUGGAAGCAUCCAUGAGAAAAAAUUGCAUAUACCUUGGUGAAAGAUUUGGUAAACUGUGACCAUGCCCAGCCUCGACAGUGGCUAUCGAUAGAGAAAAGAGAUUCUCGUUUGGAUAACCCCUCAACCUCCUUUGCCCUAAGUCUGCAUAUGCAUCAUUUUCGUUCCAUGUGUUGUUCCCGGGUGCUCCUGUUGCUGGUUUGUUGUCCUCGAUCAGUGCUUUUAUGUGUUUGUGCUGCUUACUAUGUCCAAACUCCAAACCCCCCUGUUACUGCUGCUUGGGCUAAGCCUGUGGCCCCUGGAGAUGAUGUCUGCAUACUGCAUAUCAAGCUUUCUAGGGUGGCAAAGGUUUUGCGCUCUUGGAGUCGUAUAUGAAAACCAGGUUACAACUUGCUGCUCUCCAAAUUGGCUUUAGCAGGUUAUUCUGGGCCUGGACCAUGGCACCAUGCUCAAGAUCUCCGCGAUCUCAUGUUGUCUAACAUUCCUCUCAAACAGUUCCUGAGGUUUAAGAUCCUUGCACUGGCUGCCAUCGCAAGAUCCAAAAUUAGACAGUGUUCAAGAAUUUAAUGGCUCAAGACAGGAGAUGCCAACUCAAAACUCUUCCACUUUAAAGCCAAUGGCCUAUGGUCUUGAGGGAGAAGGUGACAUCUUCUUAAUUCUGCACGAGUCAGAUGAAGCGUGUAGGUAAAGAAUUUCAGGCAAGGUUCUUUGAAAUCAGGAAUGCUCAAUGCACUACUAUAAAGGUUAAUUUAUAUAUCUCUUGGUUUCUUCAUAUUUUCUUCAUGGAUGGUAAUAUGGGAAAGCAAGUAUUGAAGCUGCACUUUUUUUAAAUCUCUGAGUUUUCUCUUGGAUUAUAAUAUUAUGGGUUAACUUAUUAUAACAGAAAGUAUCCUAGCAAACCAAACAAUGCAAACUUUUUUUAGCCAUUUUACAAAGAUGGCAAGGCCGACAACAUAAUUCUUCAUGUUGAGAAUUGUUAAUGUGGGUCAUAAAUCAAACAAUUACUCGUGUUAUAGGCUACGGGAUGUGAUGCUCUUUUUUUCUCCCGGUGCAACGCACGAGCAUUUUUACUAGUAGAAGAAAAAGAAGGUGACCUAGCAUGGGGUUCCCUCACCUCCAUUGGCUACCCCGAUGGUGGCAAUAUGGAACGGAACUCUGCGACCUUGUUCCACAUGUGUCAAAUAGUCUAGGGUUCUUAUUUAAAUGAUUUUUUUGUCCAUGGAUUUAGCUCUAGCGGUCAUAAAUAAGUUACCACUCGAUGGGGGUUGUCUCCCACCGGGUAGCCCCAUGAUGACCUAAAACCCAACAAAAGUCGAUGGCGGCCCUCUUAGGGAAUGAAGCAUGGAAAAUAAAAAAAAUCUACGAACACCCAAUAUCUAUUUAUGGAGAUGCAUAUCAAUGAAAGGGAUAGUGUGUCUACGUACCCUUGUAGACUGUUAAGCUAAAGCGUAUAUAACGCGGUUGAUGUAGUCGUACUCUUCGCAGUCCAAUCACGAUCUGAUCAGAUUUAGCACCGAACGAACGCACCUUCAUGUUCAGCACACGUGCGGCUCCAUGACGUCUCCGCCUCCUUGAUCGAGCAAGAGAAGGCUGAGUAGUAGAUGGGAUCGCUAGCAACUCGAUGGCAUGUCGGCGAUGGUGGUGGUGCUAUCCGUGCAGGGUUUUGUCGAGCACUGCCAAGAUCAUGAACGGAGGAGAAAACAGAGUAGGGAAAAAGGGAGGGUUGUGCCAGAACUUGGGGUGCGAUCGCCCUCCCUCUCCCACACUAUAUAUAGGGGCAAGGGGGGAGGGGCGCCAGCGCUAGCCCCUCUUCCAAGGGAGGGGCUGCCUGGGGGGAGCCUUGGGCCCCAAGGCAAGGGGCGCCCCCUUUACGAUUUCCUUCCCACCCUAGGUGCAUGGGCCUUGGGGAGGGAGUGGAUCCCAGCCCGCAGAGGCUCAUGCGCCCCCUCCUUAGCCCAUGUGUACCUCGGGGCAGGUGGGACCCUCUUGAUGGACCCUCGGUGACCCCUCGGCACUCCCGGUACAUUAUAAAAAAAACCAAAAUCUUUCCGAAACCCGAAUAUCACUUUUCCAUAUACAAAUCUUUACCUCCGGACAAUUCCGGAGCUCCUCGUCACGUACGGGAUCUCAUCCUGGACUCCGAACAACAUUUAGUCACCAACACACAUAUCCCAAUACUACUCUAGCAUCACCGAACACUACUACACGAAAGUCCUAAGACGACACAUCAAUAAGACACCCUUCGACCAGACUAUGUGCAAUGCAUGAAUCACAAACUGUAUAGUUCUAGUUCCCUCGCCAAUAACAUGAACUAUGUGCGAUGAUGGAUCCAUCACAUACGAUUGAGAAAAGACUUAAGUGUGUGAUAUGUGUCAUACAGUUGUUACAUGCAAACUGUUUGUGAUUAGCUAAAAUAACACAAACGACUAUAGAUUUAGUGUGUGCGAUAGAGGGCACACAAUUCACUAUGAAAAAUUGUGUGCGAUGAUACAACAAAACAUAAACUAUAUGGCAUAACAAGAUGUGUGCGAUAGACAACAAACAGGUGAGUAAUCAAAACAUGUGCAAACCCAAAAAUAACAUAAAAAAUUGUUGCUAAUAACUUGUGUGUGUUGUGGGAAAACACUUGCUAGUAUAUAAUUAUGAGUGAUUGAUGAAAUCAUCACCGACGUGUUUCACGAUUUAGUGUGUGUGUACUAUGAUUUGCUCAGUCUACACAACAUAUAUGUUGUCUCUAAAAAACAACAACAUAUAUACUUACAAGAACAAGAUUGCAUAACCAAAAAAGAACACAAAGCCAUUUCAAAUAUUGUAUCAUUAAUACUAGAAAAAUUACAUGGUUCAAAAUCCAGCAUUACAAGGCCCAAAUUCAAAGAUUACAAGGUUCAAAUUGAUACUAGAAAUCAAAUGCACGCGUCCCGCUCAGCCUGUUAUCCAAGCAUUUCUUCCUCCUCUGUCCCGUCUUGUCACCGUGUUGUUGUUCGAGGAUUCUACUACACACUUUGGCAACGCACAUGCAUUUAUUUUGGCCACGUGUCAGCUCAAAGAGGUGUCGGUGAGCCCGUUCCCACGCACAUCCGUGCAAGCUUCGCGUCCGUCUCGUCCCCCCCUAAAAAAAUCCUUACCGGGCUUCUUUCCUAAGUUUCCAUUGAUGGUGUUUCCCCAGCAACCACCGUUUGCCACCACUUCCCCAUCGAUUUACCUUCACAAUUGAAUGAGCAUAAGAGCUGGCGCACGACACACACGGAUGCACACCUAGUGCAACCUAUCCCAUCUACCAAGCAUGCGAAUGAGAUGAAGCACCGCCUCUACAAUCAACCUUCUCCACGAAAAAAAGAUCCGACGUAAUGGGCGUCAAGGCCAAGGGCGUCCUCGACAACGCGCCGGACAAGGUUGUGUUGCAUGUCAUCACGAGGGUUGAGAAGACCCUUAGCGUAGGAUGUGGCAGCACUGCCGAGCAACAUAGCCGCCUCACGCUAAGAGGCUGCAACGUGCCACACAAGAAGAUCAUUGGUGGUGCCCAUAGAGCAAAACAUGCACGUCCGCCCCCGAGAGGGCAAGGCGUGUUGCAGAACAAGACAGAUGGAGGGCCGGUGAGCGAGAGGUGUGGCGCGCGGUAAAGCAAGAGAGGUUCCUCUCACCCGACAUGACAUCGCAUCUAUGUCCACGACAAGUGGGUAGCCCAAUUUCUUGCCAGGAAUGGACAACGGCCGUCUGCAUCGUAUUUGGACCAGAACCUGACUGCAUCGUACUUGCACGGGACACCGUUCAUGACGUUCGCAUGGGUCAUGCUAUUCGCCUUGUCCGUGACCCCCUCGAUGCCAAUGGGUUGGUUGGUAGGCUUGAGCGCCUCCUUUGCCCAGGUGUCCAUCGCAGAGUAGUAGAAGAAAACGGCAGUCACAUCCUUGAGAUGGUAAUCUUUGACAAAAUAGACAACUUGGAGCUUGAGAUCGCCCUCCAGGUGUACCGCGAGCGUGUCAACCGCAUGGGCGAAUGCCUGAACGAGUUCAUGCAAAGCCAAGAUCUUCCGAAGGUUAGAGUGGUAGGCAUGGGAGCGUUUUAUUUUGUUGAAUCAUUUUAAUACCGAUCGUAAUGUCUGCACAACAACCAUAAUAUUGGUAUAUUUCAAUGUGUGAAUGAUUUAUGUUCUGUUGUUACGUUUCAAUGUGUUUCAAUGUGUCUAACAGCUAGAGCAAGAAAUGAGUACGAAAACAUAUAGAAAUGUGAAUAUAUAUAUAUAUUAAUUGUUCAAUAGCUCACUGCAUACAUCAAACAUAUAUCAUCACAUAUACAUGAUGAUAGUAUUUAACUAAUACGUGCAAUGAAUUGAUACGUCUUCAUCGUAUCUACUUCUUCUAAUGCUUUUGCUCUUUUUUGGACUCUAAUUUGCAUGAUUUGAAUGAAACUAACCCAGACUAACGUUGUUUUCAACAGAACUACCAUGGUAUAGUUUUUGUGCAGAAAUAAAAGUUCUUGGAAUGGAAAAAAACUUUUUAGAGGUUGUUUUUGAAAUAAAUGAAAAAUACUGGAAUCAAGACCCACCACAAGGGAGGACACAUGCGCCCACUAGACAUCACGUCGUGCUAGGCCCCUCUGGCGCGGCCUCGUGUCUAAUGGGGCUCGUCUAGUGGGGCCCACGUGGCUCGGCUGACCCUAAUUCCAAUGCUACAAAAUCCUAUUUUCGGAGAAAAAAGAAGAGAGGAAGUUUCAUCGCGUAUUACGAUACGGAGCCGCUGCCACCUCCUGUUGUGCAUCGGGGGCCUAAUCUAGAGUCCGUUUAGGGCUUCAGAGAGGGGAAUCUUCGGUCUUCGUCAUCACCAACCCUCCUCCAUCGCCAACUCCAUAAUGCUCUCCAUCGGGAGUGAGUAAUCCCUUCGUUGGCUUGCUGGUCGGUGAUGAGAUGGAUGAGAUUCAUCAUGUAAUCGAGUUAGUUUUGUUAGGGCUUGAUCCCUAAUAUCCACUAUGUUCGGAGAUAGAUGUUGUUAUACUUUGCUAUGCUUAAUGCUUGUCACUAGGGCCCGAGUGUCAUGAUUUCAAAACUGAACCGUUUAUGUUUUCACCAUCAUAUCUAUGUUCCUAACCCGAUCUCGCAAGUUAUGUGCACCUACUACGUGUUAGGAUCCGCAUACCCAAACUGACAAUAAUUGGGAUUCUUUCCGGUGAUUACCGUAGUAUGAGGAGUUGAUGUAUUCACUAUGUGUUAAUGCUUUGCUCUGGUUCUCUGUUAAAAGGAGGCCUUAAUAUCCCUUAGUUUCCUUAUGGACCCCACUUCCACGGGAGGGUAGAACAAAAGAUGUCAUGCAAGUUCUUUUUUUGUAAGCACGUAUAACGAUUUAUGGAAUACAUGCCUACAUUAUAUCGAUGAACGGGAGCUAGUUAUGUGUGGCCCUAUAUUGUGACUAUUAUAUGAUGAAUAUUAUCCAGCAAUAUCACCGAUCCAAUGCCUACGAGUUUUCCAUAUAUUGUGCUUGCUAAGUUACUACUGUUGUUACUGCUGUUACAACUCCUACAACACUGCCAUCACUGUUACCGUUACUACUGCUACUAUUACCACUGCUAUCAAAAUUAUCAUAUGAAAGCACAUAUGCUCCCUUGGUGGUUUUGAUAAGUCAUGACAACAUACAUUGUAUUUUGGACUAACACUUUUACCCAGUAUAUUUCAGGUAUAGUCCAGAGAGAGCAUUGGCCAAAGGAUUGUGAGGAGAAGCCCCUUGAUAAAGGAAUAGGAUUGGCUCAAGCUUCAAGCAAGAAGACUCUACAUUUUACAUUUAUGAGAAAUCACUUUUGAGUCCAUAGGAAAGCCAAUACUAUUAAAAGGGGGUGAGGUAUUAUGAUGAAUUGGUUGCUCAAGUGCUUAGAGAUAGCCACCAAAAAUAUUCACUUAUUCUCCCACAAAAUAUCUGUGACGACUGCCAAACCAGCAAAAUCGGUGCCACCAACUUUUUCCACUCGGCCCUACGGAUUUUCCAUCACAGAUCCUUUGCCAAAGCCCAACCCUAUCAUCUCAGUACCACCAACAUUAAUAUCGGCGCCAUCGAGAUCAGUGACCAACUUUAUCUUGAGCAAAUUUAAAGAAUCGAAAUUUCCGAGAUUGGAAUCGGUCUCAUAAUAUUUGGAAACCGCUCUAGGUCAUUAUAUUGGUACCACCGAGGUUCAUAUAUCGGUCUCACCGAGAAUUCAAAAGUCGCCACAUUUAGUGCAACUCGGUACCACCGAGAUUCAUUUCGGUGUCACCGAGUUGGGCAAUAAUGUUAUAAUGGGGGGAUGCCUAUAUAUACCCCUCCACCUCCUCUCAUUCGUAGAGGAAGCACUAAGAACACAGUUACACUUGCCAGAUCCAUUUUCCUGAGAGAGAGCCACCUACUCAUGUGUUGAGAUCAAGAGAUUCCAAUACAACCAUUUGAAACUUGAUAUGUAGCCUCCCCAAGUUGCUUUCCACAAAAUCAAUCUCUCCUACCCAUGCCAAAUAUGUGAGAGAGUGAUUGAGUGUUGAGGAGACUAUAUUUUGAAGCACAAAUGAAGGAGAUCAUCGUUCUACCGCAUCUAUUACCUUUUGGAGGGUGUGCCUACUAGAUUGGUUAGGUGUCGCUUGGGAGCCUCUUACUUCAUGUUGUGGAGUUGAACCAAGAAGUUUGUAAGGGCAAGGAGAUCGCCUACUUCGUGAAGAUCUACCGCGAGUGAGGCUAGUCCUAUGUGGAUGUAAGCCAUGGUGGAAUAGACAAGGUCGCUUCUUCGUGGACCCCUUAUGGGUGGAGCCCUUCGUGGACUCCUGCAGUCGUUACCCUUCGUGGGUUGAAGUCUUCACUAACAUGGACGUACGAUAGCACCACGUAUCGGAACCACGCCAAAAAUUGACGUGUGAAUGUUUGCAUUUGAUCUUCCUAAACUAUAUUCCUUACUUACAUGUGCAAAGUUUUACUUUCGCUACCAUAUUUGUUGACUAACAUGUGUAUGGUGCACUAGACUUGUUAGAAUCGCUAAAAUCUGUCAACCAUUAAAAUUUGGAAAAGGCUAGGAUAUUAAUUUAUGCAAGUAGUCUAUUCACCCCCCUCUAGACACCCCUUCUAUCGACCCAACAAUUGGUAUCUGCUACGGCGAUAUAAAUCUUCUGUCGUCUCUUGAGCUUGCGUUGGUUUUUCCCUUGAAGAGGAAAGGGCGAUGCAACACAGGAGCAGUAAGUAUUUCCCUCAGUUUGAGAACCAAGGUAUCAAUCUAGUAGGAGAAUCGCGUCAAGUCCAGAGUACCUGCACAAACACAAAAGAGCUUGCACCCAACGCUAUAAAGGGGUUGUCAAUCCCUUCAAGAUUGAUUGCAAAGUGAGAACUGAAGGCAGAAAGUGUAACAAAGUAAAAGUGUAAGGAUGAAAAUAUGGUGUGAAGUAGACCUGGGGGCCAUAGUGUUCACUAGAGGCUUUUUUCAAAAUAGCAAAUAUUACAGUGGGUGAACAAAUUACUAUCGAGCAAUUGAUAGAACCGCGUAAAGUCAUGACGAUAUCUAAGGCAAUGAUCAUACAUAUAGGCAUCACGUCCGAGACAAGUAGACCGAUACUUUCUCCAUCUACUACUAUUACUCCACACAUCGACCGCUAUCCAACAUGCAUCUAGUGUAUUGAGUUCAUGACGAACAGAGUAACGCCUUAAGCAAGAUGACAUGAUGUAGAGAGGAUAAACUCAAAACAAUGAUGUAAACCCCAUCUUUUCACUCUUGAUGGCAACAACACGAUGCGUGCCUCGCUACCCCUUCUAUUACUAGGUGAGGUCACCGCACGGUAUGAACCCAAAACCAAGCACUUCUCCCAUUGCAAGAAUCAUAAUCAAGUUGGCCAAACAAAACCCACAACUCGAAGAGAAUUACAAGGAUAUGAAAUCAUGCAUAAGAGAUAUUAGAAGAAACUCAAAUAAGAUUCAUAAAUAAUCUGAUCAUAAAUCCACAAUUCAUCGGAUCUCGACAAACACACCGCAAAGAAGAUUACAUCGGAUAGAUCUCCAUGAAGAUCAUGGAUAACUUUGUAUUGAAGAUCCAAGAGAGAGAAGAAGCCAUCUAGCUACUAGCUAUGGACCCGUAGGUCUAUGGUGAACUAUUCACGCAUCAUCGGAGAGGUCAUGGUGUUGAUGAAGAAACCCUCCGUAUCCGAAUCCCCCCUCCGGUAGGGCACCAGAACGUGCCCCAGAUGGGAUCUUGCGGAGACAAAAGCUUGCGGCGGCGGAAAAGUAUUUUCGUGGAUCUUCUGAUUUUUUCUGGGAUUUUAGGGAAUAUAUAGGCGAAAGAUCUAGGGUAGAGGAGGCCCAGGGAGCCCACAAGCUUGGGAGGCGCGCCCCCUGGCCGCGGCUAGGGGGCUUGUGGGGUCCCUGAUGACCCUUUGCCUUGGUUCUCAAGUAUCCUGAUCGUCUUCUGUUUCGGAAAAAAAUAUUUUUGGAAGAUUCUUUCCGUUUGGACUCCGUUUAAAAUCCUCCUCUGAAAAGGGUCAAAAACACGGAAUAAACAGGAACUGGCACUUGGCACUGAGUUAAUAAGUUAGUCCCAAAAAAGAUAUAAAAGGCAUACAAAACAUCCAAAGUUUGACAAGAUAAUAGCAUGAAACCAUCAAAAAUUAUAGAUACGUUGGAGACGUAUCAAGCAUCCCCAAGCUUAACUCCUGCUCGUCCUCGAGUAGGGAAGUGAUAAAGACUGAUUUUUUGAUGUGGAAUGCUACCUAGCAUAGUUGUCAUUUGUAACUUCUUUCAUGUGACACGAAUGUUCAGAUCCGUAAGAUUCAAAACAAUAGUUUGCUAUUGACAUGAAAACAAUAAUACUUCAAGCAAACUAGCAAGGUAAUCAUGAACUUUCGAAAUAACAAGGCCAAAGAAAGUUAUCCCUACAAAAUCAUAUAGUCUGGCUAUGCGCCAUCAUCCCCACACAACUAAUGUAAAUCAUGCACAACCCCGGUAUUGGCCAAGUAAUUGUUUUCGCACUCUUAUUUCUCAAACCUUUUACAACUAUCACGCAAUACAUGAGCGUGAGCCAUGAAUAUAGCACUAUACGUGGAAUAGAGUGUGGUGGUGGUUGUAAGACAAAAAGGAGGAGAUGGUCACAUUGACUCGACGUAUCAAAUGGUUAUGGAGAUGCCCAUUAAUAGAUAUCAAUGUGAAUGAGUAGGGAUUGCCAUACAAAGGAUGCACUAGAGCUAUAAGUAUGUGAAAGCUCAAAAGGAGAACUAGUGGGUGUGCAUCCAACUUGCUUGCUCAUGAAGACAUAGGGCAAUUUGAGGAAACCCAUCAUUGGAAUAUACAAGCCAAGUUAUAUAAUAAAGAUUCCCACUAGUAUGUGGUGGUGAAAAAGCAAGGAGCUCUCAAUCAUGAAGAACAUGGCGCUUUUAUGAAGCACAAGUGUGGAAAAAGAUAGUAGCAUUGUCCCUUCUCUCUUUUUCUCUCUUUUUUUGUUUGGGCUCUUUGGCCUCUUUUCAAUUUUUUUGGUGGGCAUCUUUGGCCUCUUUUUUUAAAUUUCCUCGCAUGGGACAAUGCUCUAAUAAUGACGAUCAUCACACUUUUAUUUACUCACAACUCAAAGCUUAGAACGAUGAUGACUCUAUAGGAAAUGCCUCCGGCAGUGUACCGGGAUGUGCAACUAUCUAGCUUGGCGUAUGACAUUGAAACAUCUCGCUAGCUAUCUUACGAUCAUGCAAUGGCAAUAUGAGAGUGACGACACAAGUCAUGAGACAGAACGGUGGGAGUUGCAUGCUAAUAUAUCUCGGAAUGGCUAUUAGAAUGCCAUAGUAGGUAGGUAUGGUGGCUGUUUUGAGGAAGGCAUAUGGUGGGUUUGUGCAUCGGCGAAAAUUGCGUGGUACUAGAGAGGCUAGCAAUGGUGGAAGGUGAAAGUGCAUCUAUACCAUGGACUCACAUUAGUCAUGAAGAACUCACAUACUUGUUGCGGAAGUUUUUAUUAGUAAUCGAAACAAAGUGCUAAACGCAUACUCCUAGGGGAAGGGUUGGUAGGUGUUAACCAUCGCGCGAUCCCGACCUCAACACAAUGGAUAACAAUCAAUAGAUCAAUUAUGCUCCGACUUCCUAACAUAGCGGUUCACCAUACGUGCAUGUUACGAGAAUCACUAACUUCAACACAAGUAUUUCUUGAUUCACAACACCCUACUAACAUAACUCUUAAUAUUACCAACUCCACGUCUCAAAACUAAUUGAGAGGAAUCAAAACUUCUCUUUCUACUCAAUGCACAUGAAGAUGGAGGUUUUUCUAUCCUCUUUGGGUACCUAUCACCUUUGGGACUACUUUCACAGCACAAGCCAACUACCAAGUCAUGCACCGCCGUGCUCUAAAAGAUAUAAGUGAAGCACAUAGAGCAAAAUGGUCUAGCUCAAAAGGUAUAUGUGAAGCACGAUGAGCACUCUAGCAAAAUCACGAUGAGUGCGUGAUACGUCUCCAACGUAUCUAUAAUUUUUUAUGGUUUCAUGCUAUUAUCUUGUCAAACUUUGGAUGUUUUGCAUGCCUUUUAUAUAUUUUCUGGGACUAACUUAUUAACUCAGUGCCAAGUGCCAGUUCCUGUUUUUUCCAUGUUUUUGACCCCUUUCAGAGGAGAUUUUGAAACAGAGUCCAAACGGAAGAAAAUUCCCGAAAAGAUUUUUUCUUAACAGAAGAAGAUCGGGAAGCUUGGGAGCCAAGGCAGGGGAGCCUCAGGGGGCCCACAAGCCCCCACCCCGCGGCCAGGGGGUAGGUCGCGACCCACAGGCUUGUGGGCCCCCUGGGCGCCCUCUCACAAAGGGGUUGCGCCUAUAUAUUCCCUAAAAAUCCCAAAAAAAUCAGGAAAAGCCAGGGCGCCCCCUGGCUUGUGGGCUCCGUGAGGCUCCUUUGCCCUAGGUUUUGCGCCUAUGUAUUCCCUAAACUUGCAUAAAAAUCAGGAGAUCAUCGAAAGUACUUUUCCGCCGCCGCGAGCUUCUGUCUCCGCAAGAUCCCAUCUGGGGCACGUUCUGGUGCCCUACCGGAGGGGGAUUCAGACACGGAGGGCUUCUUCAUCAACACCAUGACCUCUCCGAUGAUGCGUGAGUAGUUCACCAUAGACCUACGGGUCCAUAGCUAGUAGCUAGAUGGCUUAUUCUCUCUCUUGGAUCCUCAAUACAAAGUUCUCCAUGAUCUUCAUGGAGAUCUAUCCGAUGUAAUCUUCUUUUGCGGUGUGUUUGUCGAGAUCCGAUGAAUUGUGGAUUUAUGAUCAGAUUAUCUAUGAAUCUUAUUUGAGUUUCUUCUGAUCUCUCUUAUGCAUGAUUUGAUAUCCUUGUAAUUCUCUUCGAGUUGUGGAUUUUGUUUGGCCAACUAGAUCUAUGAUUCUUGCAAUGGGAGAAGUGCUUGGUUUUGGAUUCAUACCGUGCGGUGACAUCCACCCAGUGACAGAAGGGGUAGCGAGGCAUGCAUCGUGUUGUUGCCAUCAAGGGUAAAAAGAUGGGGUUUUCAUCAUUGGUUUGAGAUUAUCCCUCUACAUCAUGUCAUCUUGCUUAAGGCGUUACUCUGUUCGUCAUGAACUCAAUACACUAGAUGCAUGCUGGAUAGCAGUUGAUGUGUGGAGUAAUAGUAGUUGAUGCAGAAAGUAUGGGUCUACUUCUCUCGGACGUGAUGCCUAUAUGUAUGAUCAUUGCCUUAGAUAUCGUCAUGACUAUGCGCGGUUCUAUCAAUUGCUCGACAAUAAUUUGUUCACCCACCGUAAUACUUGCUAUUUUGAGAGAAGGCUCUAGUGAACACUAUGGCCCCCGGGUCUACUCCACACCAUAUUUUCAGCCUUACACUUUUUACUUCGUUGCACUUUCCGCCUUCAGAUAUCACUUUGCAAACAAUCUUGAAGGGAUUGACAACCCCUUUGAAGCGUUGGGUGCAAGCUUGUUUGUGUUUGCGCAGGUACUCUCGACUUGACGAGACCCUCCUUCUGGAUCGAUACCUUGGUUCUCAAACUGAGGGAAAUACUUACUGCUACUGUGCUGCAUCACCCUUUCCUCUUCAAGGGAAAAACCGACGCAAACAAGAGAAGUAACAAGAAGAAUUCCUAGCGCCAAGGAAGGACUUUUGUUGCCGUAGCAGAAGAAUUUUUGGCGCCGUUGCCGGGGAGCAAGAUCAAGUCAAGAACUCAUCCAAGUAGGUGUCGCAAACUCAUCUCUUGCAUUUACUUUGUUUGCCAUUUGCCUCUCGUUUUCCUCUCCCCCACUUCACCAAUUUGCCUUUUUCGUUCGCCAUUUUUGUUCGCCCUUUUUCUCGCCUGCUCUUUGUUUGCUUGUGUGCUUGCUUGCUUGCUGAAGUCACCAUUAAUUAAAACACCAAACUUUGUGACUUCUCGAAUACUAAUAAUAAUGAUUUUAUUAGUACUCCGAUUGCUCCCGCCACUAGUGCGGAGUCAUACGAAACUAAUGCCGCUUUGCUGAAUCUUGUUAUGAAAGAGCAAUUCUCCGGCCUUCCUAGUGAAUAUGCCGCAUCCCAUCUCAAUACCUUCAUUGAACUUUGCAACAUGCAAAAGAAGAAAGAUGUGGAUAAUGAUGUGAUUAAAUUGAAGCUUUUUCCUUUCUCGUUGCGAGAUCGCGCAAAAACUUGGUUUUCUUUUUUGCCCAAAAAUAGUAUCGAUUCUUGGGAUAAGUGCAAAGAUGCUUAUAUAUCCAAGUAUUUUCCACCAGCUAAGAUUAUCUCUCUCCAUAAUGAGAUCAUGAAUUUCAAGCAACUUGACAAUGAACAUGUUGCACAAUCUUGGGAGAGAAUGAAAUUAAUGAUUAGAAAUUGUUCCGCUCAUGGCUUGAGUCUUUGGAUGAUUAUUCAAAUCUUUUACGCUGGCUUGAAUUCCGCUUCUAGAAAUAUCUUGGACUCCGCCUCAGGUGGAACGUUCAUGGAAAUCACGUUAGGGGAAGCCACAAAGCUCUUAGACAACAUCAUGACGAACUACUCUCAGUGGCACACUGAAAGGUCACCUACUAGUAAGAAGAUACCCCUAUCGAAGAAAUUAACUCGUUGAGUGCUAAGAUGGACGAGUUAAUGAAUUUGGUUGCUAGUAGAAGUGCUCCUUUGGAUCCUAAUGAUAUGCCCUUGUCUUCUUUGAUUGAGAGUAGCAACGCUAGCUUGGACGUUAAUUUUGUUGGUAGGAAUAACUUUGGCAACAACAAUGCUUUUAGAAGAAACUAUGUUCCUAUGCCUUUUCCUAGUAACUCCUCUAAUAAUUUUGGCAACUCCUACAACAAUAUUAAUGGAAAUUACAAUAAAUUACCCUUUGAUCUAGAGAGUAAUAUCAAAGAGUUCAUCAACUCUCAAAAGAUUUUCAAUGCUUUGAUAGAAUUGACGAUUUGGCUAAGAGCGUUGAUAGAAUUUCUAGUGAUGUUGAUGCUUUGAAAGUUAGAUGUGAUCCUCCCAAAAUCAACAUGGAUGAAACUUUGAAAGCUAUGCGUGUUUCAAUGAUUGAGAGCCAAGAAAGAACCGCCCAAAUUCGUGCUAGACAUGAAUGGCUUAAAAAGGCGUGUUCUCGUGAUGAGAAUCACGAAGAUCUUAAAGUGCUUGGUGUGACUCCCAUUGAAUAUUUGUUUUCUUGUGUCAAACCUAAUGCUUAUGGGGCUGGAUAUGAAUCCACUUUGGUUGAAAAGUACCCCAAUGAUUCGGAGUCCAUCUAUCUUGAUGCUAAAAGCAUUGAAAGUGGAGUAGGAGACGUUAAAACGUUGAGUAGUAAUGAAAUUACUACCGUGGAUUUCAAGGAAUUCAAUUAUGAUAGUUGCUCCUUGAUUGAAUGCAUUUCCUUGAUGCAAUCCAUGUUAAACUCUCCACACGCUUAUAGCCAAAACAAGGCCUUUACCGAUCAUAUCGUCGAAGCUAUGAUAAAAUCUCUUGAAGACAAACUUGAAUUGGAAGUCUCUAUCCCUAGAAAGCUUCAUGAUGAGUGGGAACCUACCAUCAAAAUCAAAAUAAAAAACUAUGAGUUUAAUGCUUUGUGUGAUUUGGGUGCUAGUGUUUCUGCGAUUCCAAAGUCUUUAUGUGAUGUUCUGGGUUUUAAUGAGAUUGAAGAGUGUUCUCUUAAUUUGCAUCUUGCUGAUUCUACUAUCAAAAAACCCAUGGGAAGGAUCAAUGAUGUUAUUAUUAUUGCAAAAUAAACUAUGUACCCAUGGAUUUCAUUGUGCUUGACAUUGAUUGCAAUCCUACAUGCCCUAUUAUUCUUUGUAGACCUUUCCUAAGGACUAUCAGUGCUAUCAUCGAUAUGAAGGAAGGGAAUAUUAGAUUUAAUUUUCCUUUAAGGAAGGGCAUGGAACAGUUUCCUAGAAAGAAAAUAAGAUUGCCUUAUGAAUCCAUGAUGAGGGCCACUUAUGGUUUGAGCACCAAAGACGACGAUACGUGAUUCUAUCGCUUUUGUGCCUAGCUAAGGGCGUUAAACAAUAGCGCUUGUUGGGAGGCAACCCAAUGAAUUUAUCCUUUUCUUUCUGUUUUGUUGCGUCCACACCAUCAAAAUUCUGUUGUGAUUGUGUUUUUUGUGUUUAUUUUUGUGUUUAGCCAAGCAAAACCUUUAUGACUAGUCUUGGUAAUGGUUGUUUGAUCCUGCUGGAAAAAAGACAGAAACUUUUCGCUCACGAGAUGAUUUUUCAUUUUUAUUCAGUAAGAUAUUUUGAGUUGAUUCUUUUUGCUGCUGGUUGAUAUGCUUUUUCCGCAGGCCUUCGUAAUUUUUCAGAUUUUUUAAGGUACCAUAAGUAUACGAAGUAUACAGAUUUCUACAAACUGGUCUGUUUUUGACAGAUUCUGUUUUUGUUUAGUUGGUUGCUUGUUUUGAUGAAACUAUGGUUAGUAUCAGUGGGUACUAGCCAUGGAAAAGUGAGAAUACAGUAUCCCAACACCAAUAUAGAUAGAAUUCAAGUUUGCUACCGUACCAAAAGAAGUGGUAGUUUGUUUUCUUGUGCUAAUGUUAUCACGAGUUUCCGUUUAAGUUUUGUGUUGUGAAGUUCUCAAGCUUUGGGUGAUGUUCUCAUGGACAAAGAGAUAUAGAGUGGAAAUAGCUCAAGCUUGGCGAUGCCCAAGGCAUACCAAGCCAAUUCAAGGACACCAAAAAGCCUAAGCUUGGGGAUGCCCCGGGAAGGCAUCCCCUCUUUCGUCUUCAAUCCAUCGGUAACAUUACUUGGAGCUAUAUUUUUAUUCACCACAUGAUAUGUGUUUUGCUUGGAGCAUCUUGUAUCUUAGGAGUAUUUUCCUUUUGUUGUGUCACAAUCAUCCUUGCUGCACACUUUUUUGAGAGAGAGACAUGCACUCAUCGUGAUUUUGCUAGAAUGCUCAUAGUGCUUCACUUAUAUCUUUUGAGCUAGAUACUUUUGCUCAUAGUGUUUCACUUAUAUCUUUUGAGCUAGAUUCUUUUGCUCUAGUGCUUCACUUAUAUCUUUAGGGCACAGUGGUGCGUGAUUUGGCAGUUGGCUUAUGCUAUGAAAGUAGUCCCAAAUGUGAUAGGUACCCAAAAGAGGAUGCAAAAACCUUCAUCUUCAUGUGCAUUGAGUAGAAAGAGAAGUUUUGAUUCCUCUCAAUUAUUUUUGAGACGUGGAUUUGGUAAUAUUAAGAGCUAUGUUAGUAGGGUGUUGUGAAUCUAGAAAUAAUUUUGUUGAAGUUAGUGAUUCCCGUAGCAUGCACGUAUGGUGAACCGCUAUGUUAGGAAGUCACAGCAUAAUUGAUCUAUUGAUUGUCAUCCUUUGUGUUGAGGUCGGGAUCGCGUGAUGGUUAACACCUACCAACCCUUCCCCUCGGAGUAUGCGUUUAGCACUUUGUUUCGAUUACUAAUAAAAACUUUCGCAACAAGUAUGUGAGUUCUUCAUGACUAAUGUGAGUCCAUGGUAUAGAUGCACUUUCACCUUCCACCAUUGCUAGCCUCUCUAGUGCCGCGCAAUUCUCGCCGGUGCGCAAACCCACCACAUGCCUUCCUCAAAACAGCCACCAUACCUACCUACUAUGGCAUUUUCAUAGCCAUUCCGAGAUAUAUUGCCAUGCAACUUCCACCGUUCUGUCUCGUGACUUGUGUCGUCACUCUCAUAUUGCCUUUGCAUGAUCGUAAGAUAGCUAGCGAGAUGUUUCAACGUCAUACGCCAUGCUAGAUCGUUGCACAUCCCGGUACACCGCCAGAGGCAUUUCCUAUAGAGUCAUCACCAUUUUGAGCUGUGAGUAAAGAAAAGUGUGAUGAUCAUCAUUAUUAGAGCAUUGUCCCAUGUGAUGAAAUAAAAAAAGAGGCCAAAGAGCCCAAAAACAAAAAAACAAAAAAAGAGAAAAAAAUAAAAGAAAAAAUAGAGGCCUAAGAGCCCAAAUGAAAAAAGAAAAGAGAGAAAAAGAGAGAAGGGACAAUGCUACUAUCUUUUUCCACACUUGUGCUUCAUAAUAGCACCAUGUUCUUCAUGAUUGAGAGCUUCUUGCUUUGUCACUACCAUAUGCUAGUGGGAAUCUUCAUUAUAUAACUUGGCUUGUAUAUUCCAAUGAUGGGCUUCCUCAAAAUUGCCCUAGGCGUUCGUGAGCAAGCAAGUUGGAUGCACACCCACUAGUUUUCCAUUUGAGCUUUCACAUACUUAUAGCUCUAGCGCAUCUCUUGUAUGGAAAUCCCUACUCAUUCAUAUUGAUAUCUAUUAGUGGGCAUCUCCAUAGCCUUUUGAUACGCCGAGUCAAUGUGACCAUCUUCUCCUUUUUGUCUCACAACCACCACCACACUCUAUUCCACCUAUAGUGCUAUAUCCAUGGCUCACGCUCAUGUAUUGCGUGACAGUUAUAAAAGGUUUGAGAAAGUAAGAGUGCGAAAACAAUUACUUGGCCAAUUCCGGGGUUGUGCAUGAUUUACAUUAGUUGUGUGAGGAUGAUGGAGCAUAGCCAGACUAUAUGAUUUUGUAGGGAUAACUUUCCUUGGCCUUGUUAUUUUGAAAGUUCAUGAUUACUUUGCUAGUUUGCUUGAAGUAUUAUUGUUUUCAUGUCAAUAGCAAACUAUUGUUUCGAAUCGUACGGAUCUGAACAUUCAUGUCACGUGAAAGAAGUUGCAAAGGACAACUAUGCUAGGUAGCAUUCCACAUAAAAAAUUCAUUCUUUAUCACUUCCCUACUCGAGGACGAGCAGGAGUUAAGCUUGGGGAUGCUUGAUAUGUCUCCAACGUAUCUAUAAUUUUUUAUGGUUUCAUGCUAUUAUCUUGUCAAACUUUGGAUGUUUUGCAUGCCUUUUAUAUAUUAUCUGGGACUAACUUAUUAACUAAGUGCUAAGUGCUAGUUCCUGUUUUUUCCAUGUUUUUGACCCCUUCCAUAGGAGAUUUUGAAACAGAGUCCAAACGGAAGAAAAUCCCCGAAAAUAUUUUUUUCAUAACGGAAGAAGAUCGGGAAGGUUGGGAGGCAAGGCAGGGGAGCCUCACGGGCCCCACAAGCCCCCACCCCAUGGCCAGGGGGGUAGGCCGCGACCCACAGGCUUGUGGGCCCCCUGGGCGCCCUCUGACCUAGGGGUUGCGCCUAUAUAUUCCCGAAAAAUCCGAAAAAAAUCAGGAGAUUAUCGAAAGUACUUUUCCGCCGCCGCAAACUUCUGUCUCCGCAAGAUCCCAUCUGGGGCACGUUCUGGUGCCCUGCCGGAGGGGGGAUUCGGACACGAAGGGCUUCUUCAUCAACACCAUGACCUCUCCGAUGAUGCGUGAGUAGUUCACCAUAGACCUACGGGUCCAUAGCUAGUAACUAGAUGACUUCUUCUAUCUCUUGGAUAUUCAAUACAAAGUUCUCCAUGAUCUUCAUGGAGAUCUAUCCAAUGUAAUCUUCUUUUGCGGUGUGUUUUUCGAGAUCCGAUGAAUUGUGGAUUUAUGAUCAGAUUAUUGAUACGUCUCAAACGUAUCUAUAAUUUUUGAUGGUUUCACGCUGUUAUCUUGUCAACUUUGGAUGUUUGGUUUACCUUUUAUAUCUUUUUUGGGACUAACUUAUUAACUCAGUGCCAAGUGCGAGUUCCUGUUUUUUCCGUGUUUUUGACUCUUUUCAGAUCUGAUUUUGGAACGGAGUCCAAACGGAAUAAAAUCCCCAAAAUGAUUUUUUCCAGAACGGAAGAAGAUCGGGAGGCUUGAGGGCCAAGCAAGUGGGCCCACAGGGAGCCCACAAGCCCUGUUGCCGCGACCAGGGGGAGGCCGCGGCAACCAAUCUUGUGGCCCUCCUGGCGCUCCCCUGCCCGAGGUCUUUGGCCUAUAAAUUCCCUUAAAAUCCAGAAAAAAUCAGGGCGUCCACGAAAACAAUUUUCUGCCGCCGCAAGAUUCCGUUUCCACGAGAUCUCAUCUGGAGACCCUUCCUGGUGCCCUGCCGGAGGGGACUUUGGAGUUGGAGGGCUUCUUCAUCAACAUCAUCGCCCCUCCAAUGACUCGUGAGUAGUUCACUUCAGACCUACGGGUCCGUAGUUAGUAGCUAGAUGGCUUCUUCUCUCUCUUGGAUCUUCAAUACAAAGUUCUCCAUGAUUUUCAUGGAGAUCUAUCCGAUGUAAUCUUCUUUGGCGGUGUGUUUGUCGAGAUCCAAUGAAUUGUGGAUUUGUGAUCAGAUUAUCUAUGAUAUAUAUUUGAGUCUUUGCUGAUUUCUUAUAUGCAUGAUUUGAUAUCCUUGUAAGUCUCUCCGAGUCUUGGGUUUUGUUUGGCCAACUAGAUCUAUGAUUCUUGCAAUGGGAGAAGUGCUUGGUUUUGGGUUCAUACCGUGUGGUGACCUUUCCGAGUGAUAGAAGGGGCAGCAAGGCACGCAUCAUGUUGUUGCCAUCAAGGGUAACAAGAUGGGCUUUUAUCGUAGAUAUGAGAUUGUCCAUCUACAUCAUGUCAUCUUGCUUAAGGCGUUACUCUGUUCUUUUGGACUUAAUACACUAGAUCCAUGGUGGAUAGCGGUCGACGUGUGGAGUAAUAGUAGUAGAUGCAAAAAGUAUCGGUCUACUUGUUUUGGAUGUGAUGCCUAUAGAUAUAAUUAUUGCCAUAGAUGACGUCACGACUUUGCGCGGUUCUAUCAAUUGCUCGACAGUAAUUCGUUCACCCACCGUCUACUUGCUUUCUUAAGAGAAGCCACUAGUGAACACUACGGCCCCCGGGUCUAUUCACACCUAUCGUUUCCACUUUCGCUUUUACUUUGCUUUGUUACUUUGUUGCUUUCAGUUCUCACUUGGCAAACAAUCUAUAAGGGAUUGACAACCCCUUCAUAGCAUUGGGAGCAAGCUCUUUGUGUUUGUGCAGGUAAUUGUGAUAUUUCUUCACUGGAUCGAUACCUUGGUUCUCAAAACUGAGGGAAAUACUUACCGCCACUGUGCUACAUCACCCUUUCCGCUUCGAGGGAACACCAACGCAAGGCUCCAAGGUCACAGGGGAAUCCUUUGCAUAUUUGCCUAGGAAGUCCCUAAAGGCGUAGCCGUAGCACAAGGAUUCCUGGUGCCGUUGCUGAGGAGUAUCAAGACAAGAAUAGUCUCCCGUCAGCACACUUGUUUCUGGCGCCGUUAUAAGGUCUUUUGUUGCAACAACAGAAGUAUUUCUGGCGCCGUUGCCGGGGAAGGAGAGAUCAAGACCUAUCCAAGUAGGUGUCACAAACUCAUCUUUUGCAUUUACCUUUUUUGCCAGUUGCCUCUCGUUUUCCUCUCCCCCACUUCACAUUUGCCGUUUUCGUUUGCCUUUUUCAUUUGCCUUUUUCAUUCGCCCUUUCCUCUCGCUUGCUUUCUGUUUGCUUGUGUUGCCAUGUGCCUUCAAUAUGCUGCCAUCUUCGCUUGCUGAAAAUCUAGUGAUAUGGAUCCUCAUCCACUUGCUAAUCUCUUUAAGAGAUCCAAUUAUGUUGAUCCAAUUGCUAGUGAGUUGAGUGCACUUGACUAUCUUUAUGGAGCUUUGCUUAAGAUGCGUGAAUCUUAAAAUCGUGAUGUAGAAAUUUAUGAAGUGAUUCACGAGGGCUCCUUGGAUGAAAAGCAUGAUUGCAAUGGUUUCACUAUAAAUUCUAUUAGUGACAAUCAUGCUAAAAAUAUGCAAAACCCUAAGCUUGGGGAUGCUAGUUUUGCUAUGUCCACUACUUGUUGCAAUGAUCAUGAGUGGGGCGAUGAUUUUUCUUAUGAUCUUGAAAAUUUGUUUAAGCCUCAUGAUGAAUAUGAUAUUUGCAAUAAUAUUGAAAGUGGGUUUGGAGAAGUCGUGACUUUCAUUGAUGAUAAUCCCACUAUUUUUGAAGAGCAUCAACUUUGCCUGCAUGUGGAUCAUGAAAAUAAUAUCCUUUCUGAUAGCUAUAUUGUUGAAUUUGAAUAUGAUCCCACAUGUAAUUGCUAUGAGAGAGGAAAAAUAUUGUGGUAGAAACUUUCAUGUUACCAAAUUACCUCUCGUCAUGUUGAGAUUGCUAUUGUCUCUUUCUUCUUCCUUGCAUAUGGUAACUAUUGGUUGUCUUGACAAUCUAUUUUCCUAUAAAAUGCAUAUGCAUAGGAAGUAUGUUAGACUUAGAUGUGAUUUUCACAUGCUUUAUGAUGCUCUCGUUGUGCUUCAAUUUUUGUCUUUUGUGUGAGCAUCAUUGAUUUAUCAAUGCCUAGCUAAGGGCGUUAAACAAUAGCGCUUGUUGGGAGGCAACCCAACGAAUCUAUCUUUUUUCUUUCUGUUUUGUGUUUUCCACACUUUCAUAAUUCUUUUAUGAUUGUGUUUUUUGUGUUUCUUCUUGCGUUUGUGCCAAGCAAAACCGUUAUGAUUAAUCUUGGGGAUGAUCGUUUGGUCAUGCUGGAAAAGACAGAAACUUUCUGCUCACGAAAAUAAUUUUCAUUUUUUUUCUGUAAGAGCUUUUGAGUUGAUUCUUUUUGCUUCUGAUUGCUACGCAAAUUAUUAAGACUGUCGUAAUGUUUCAAAAUUUUUGAAGUACCAGAAGUAUACGAAGUGUACAGAUUGCUACAGACUGGUCGGCUGUUAACAGAUUCUGUUUUUGUUGUGUUGGUUGCUUAUUUUGAUGAAACUAUGGAUAGUAUCGGGGGAUAUUAGCCAUGGAAAUUGAAAAUACAGUAACAUAACAUCAACAUAAGUAGAAUUUAAGUUUGCUACAGUACCUAAGGAAGUGGUGGUUUGCUUUCUUAUGCUAAUGUUAUCACGAGUUUCUGUUUAAGUUUCGUGUUGUGAAGUUUUCAAGUUUUGGGUGAAGUUCUUAUGGAAAAAAAAGAUAAAGAGUGGCAAGAGCUCAAGCUUGGGGAUACCCAAGGCACCCCAAGAGAUUCAAGGAUGCCGUAAAAGCCUAUGCUUGGGGAUACCCAAGGCACCCCAAGAGAUUCAAGGAUGCCGUAAAAGCCUAAGCUUGGGGAUGCCCCGGGAAGGCAUCCCCUCUUUCGUCUUCAAUCCAUCGGUAACGUUACUUGGAGCUAUAUUUUUAUUCACCACAUGUUAUGUGUUUUGCUUGGAGCGUCUUGUAUCGUAGGAUUCUUUUAUUUUUGUUGUGUCACAUUCAUCCUUGCUGCACACCUAGAGAGAGAGACAUGCACUCACCAUGAUUUUGUCGAGCUUCACUUAUAUCCUUUGGUUAGACAAUUCAGCUCACAUGUGCUUCACUUAUAUCUUUUGAGCUAGUUGAUUUUUCUCUAUGUGCUUCACUUAUAUCUUUUAGAGCACGGUGGUGCGUGGCUUGGUAGUUGAUCUAUGCUAUGAAAGUAGUCUCAAAAGGGGUAGUUAUCCAAAGGGAUACGAAAACUUCCACCUUCAUGUGCAUUGAAUAGUUAGAGAAGUUUGAUUCAUCUCAACUAGUUUUGAGUAGUGGUUAUGGUAAUAUUGAAGUUAUAUUAGUAAGGUGUUGUGGAUCUAGAAAUACGUGUGUUGAAGUUAGUGAUUCCCGUAGCAUGCACGUACGGUGAACCGCUAUGUGAUGAAGUCUGAGCAUGAUUAGUCUAUUGAUUGUCAUCCUUUGUGUGGCGGUCGGGAUCGCGCAAUGGUUUAUACCUACCAACCCUUCCCCUAGGAGUAUGCGUUGAAUGCUUUGUUUCGAUUACUAAUAAAACUUUUGCAACAAGUAUAUGAGUUCUUCAUGACUAAUGUUGAGUCCAUGGUUUAGAUGCACUUUCACCUUCCACCAUAACUAUCUUCUUUAGUGCCGUGCAACUUUCGCCGGUGCACAAAACCCACCAUUAGCCUCCCUCAAAACAGCCACCAUACCUACCUACUAUGGCCUUUUCAAAGUCAUUCCGAAAUAUAUUGCCAUGCAACUACCACCAUGACAUGUGCCACCACGUCUACAUUGCCAUUACAUGAUCGUAAGAUAGCUAGCAUGAUGUUUCCAUUAAUGUCUAUGCCAUGCUAGAUCAUUGUCACAGUACACUACCGAAGGCAUUCCAUAUAGAGUCAUCGUUGCUCUAAGUUUUGAGUUGUAAGUGUGAUGAUCAUCAUUGAUGGAGCAUUGUCCCAUGUGAGGAAAUAAAAGAGGCCAAAGAUGCCCACCAAAAAAAGAGGCCAAAGAGCCCAUCCAAAUAAAAUAAAAUAAAAAAAUGAAUGAGAGAAAAAGAGAGAAGGGACAAUGCUACCUCCUAUCCACACUUGUGCAUAUUAAGCACCAUGAUCUUCAUGAUUGAGAGUCUCUCGUUUUGUCACCACCAUAUAGCUAGUGGGAAAUUUUCAUUAUAUAACUUAGCUUGUAUAUUCCAAUGAUAGGCUUCCUGAAAAUUGCCUUAGGUCUUUGUGAGCAAGCAAGUUGUAUGCACACCCACUAGUUUUCUUUAAGAGCUUUCACAUACUCUUAGCUCUAGUGCAUCAUUUGUAUGGCAAUCCCUACUCAUUCACAUUGAUAUCUAUUGAUGAGCAUCUCCACAGCUCAUUGAUAUGCCUAGUUAAUGUGACCAUCUUCUCCUUGUUUGUCUUGCAACCUCCACCUCACUCCACACCACUUAUAGUGCUAAAACCAUGGCUCACACUCAUGUAUUGCGUGAGAGUUGAAAAGGUUUGAGAAAGAAAAGGUGUGAAAACAAUUACUUGGCCAAUACCGGGGUUCUGCAUGAUUUAAAUUCGUUGUGCAAUGAUGAUAGAGGAUAGCCAGACUAUAUGAUUUUGUAGGGAUAACUUUCCUUUGGCCUUGUUAUUUUGAAAGUUCAUGAUUACCUUGCUAGUUUGCUUGAAUUAUUAUUGUUUCCACGUCAAUAGCAAACUAUUGUUUUGAAUCUAAUGGAUCUAAACAUUCACGUCACAUAAGAGAAGUUACAAAGGACAUCUAUGCUAGGUAGCAUGAAAGCAUCAAAAAUUGAUUCUUUAUCACUUCCCUACUCGAGGACGAGCAGGAGUUAAGCUUGGGGAUGCUUGAUAAGUCUCAAACGUAUCUAUAAUUUUUGAUGGUUUCACGCUGUUAUCUUGUCAACUUUGGAUGUUUUGUUUACCUUUUAUAUCUUUUUUGGGACUAACUUAUUAACUCGGUGCCAAGUGCCAGUUCCUAUUUUUUCUGUGUUUUUGACUCUUUUCAGAUCUGAUUUUGGAACGGAGUCCAAACAGAAUAAAAUCCCCAAAAUGAUUUUUUCCAGAAGGGAAGAAGAUCGGGAGGCUUGAGGGCCAAGCAAGUGGGCCCACAAGUCCGGUUGCCGCGGCCAGGGGGGAGGCCGCGACAACCAAGCUUGUGCCCCCCCUGGCGCUCCCCUGCCCUAGGUCUUUGGCCUAUAAAUUCCCUAAAAAUCCAGAAAAAAUCAGGGCAUCCACGAAAACACUUUUCCGCCGCCGCAAGCUUCCGUUUCUGCGAGAUCUCAUCUGCAGACCCUUCCCGGUGCCCUGCCUGAGGGGACUUUGGAGUUGGAGGGCUUCUUCAUCAACACCAUCGCCCCUCCAAUGACUCGUGAGUAGUUCACUUCAGACCUACGGGUCCGUAGUUAGUAGCUAGAUGGCUUCUUCUCUCUCUUGGAUCUUCAAUACAAAGUUCUCCAUGAUCUUCAUGGAGAUCUAUCCGAUGUAAUCUUCUUUGGCGGUGUGUUUGUCGAGAUCCGAUGAAUUGUGGAUUUGUGAUCAGAUUAUCUAUGAUAUAUAUUUGAGUCUUUGCUGAUUUCUUAUAUGCAUGAUUUGAUAUCCUUGUAAGUCUCUCCGAGUCUUGGGUUUUGUUUGGCCAACUAGAUCUAUGAUUCUUGCAAUGGGAGAAGUGCUUGGUUUUGGGUUCAUACCGUGUGGUGACCUUUCCCAGUGACAGAAGGGGCAACAAAGCACACAUCGUGUUGUUGCCAUCAAGGGUAACAAGAUGGGCUUUUAUCGUAGAUAUGAGAUUGUCCAUCUACAUCAUGUCAUCUUACUUAAGGCGUUACUCUGUUCUUUUGGACUUAAUACACUAGAUGCACGGUGGAUAGCGGUCGACGUGUGGAGUAAUAGUAGUAGAUGCAGAAAGUAUCAGUCUACUUGUUUUGGAUGUGAUGCCUAUAUAUAUAAUCAUUGCCAUAGAUGACGUCACGACUUUGUGCGGUUCUAUCAAUUGCUCGACAGUAAUUCGUUCACCCACCGUCUACUUGCUUUCAUGAGAGAAGCCACUAGUGAACACUACGGCCCCCGGGUCUAUUCACACCUAUCGUUUCCACUUUCGCUUUUACUUUGCUUUGUUACUUUGUUUCUUUCAGUUCUCACUUGGCAAACAAUCUAUAAGGGAUUGACAACCCCUUCAUAGCGUUGGGAGCAAGCUCUUUGUGUUUUUGCAGGUACUUGUGAUAUUCCAUCACUGGAUCGAUACCUUGGUUCUCAAAACUGAGGGAAAUACUUACUGCCGCUGUACUACAUCACCCUUUCCGCUUCGAGGGAACACCAACACAAGGCUUAAAGGCCACGGGAGAAUCCUUUGCAUAUUUGCCUAGGAAGUCCCUAAAGGUGUAGCCGUAGCAGAAGGAUUCCUGGUGCCGUUGAUGAGGAGUAUCAAGACAAGAAUAGUCUCCCGUCAGCACGCUUGUUUCUGGUGCCGUUGGAAGGUCUUUUGUUGCAUCAACAAUUAUCUAUGAAUCUUAUUUGAGUUUCUUCUGAUCUCUCUUAUGCAUGAUUUCAUAUGCUUAUAAUUCUCUUCGAGUUGUGGGUUUUGUCUGGCCAACUAGAUGUAUGAUUUUUGCAAUGGGAGAAGUGCUUGGUUUUGGGUUCAUACCGUGCGGUGACCUCACCCAGUGACAGAAGGGGUAGCGAGGCACGCAUCUUGUUGUUGCCAUCAAGGGUAAAAAGAUGGGGUUUUCAUCAUUGGUUUGAGAUUAUCCCUCUACAUCAUGUCAUCUUGCUUAAGGCGUUACUCUGUUCGUCAUGAACUCAAUACACUAGAUGCAUGCUGGAUAGCGAUCGAUGUGUGGAGUAAUAGUAGUAGAUGCAGAAAGUAUCGGUGUACUUGUCUCGGACGUGAUGCCUAUAUGUAUGAUCAUUGCCUUAGAUAUCAUCAUGACUUUGCGCGGUUCUAUCAAUUGCUCGACAGUAAUUUGUUCACCCACCGUAAUACUUGCUAUUUUGAGAGAAGCCUCUAGUGAACACUAUGGCCCCCAGGGUCUACUCCACACUAUAUUUUCAGCCUUACACUUUUUACUUCGUUGCACUUUUCGCCUUCAGAUAUCACUUUGCAAACAAUCUUGAAGGGAUUGACAACCCCUUUAAAGCGUUGGGUGCAAGCUUGUUUGUGUUUGCGCAGGUACUCUGGACUUGACGAGACCCUCCUUCUGGAUCGAUACCUUGGUUCUCAAACUGAGGGCAAUACUUACUGCAAACCAGAGUAGUAACAAGAAGAAUUCAUAGUGCUAAGGAAGGACUUUUGUUGCCGUAGAAGUGUGUGUCUCUCUCAAAAGGUGUGCAACAAGUAUGAUUGUGACACACAAAAAAAAACUCCUACGAUACAAGACGCUCCAAGCAAAACACAUAUCAUGUGGUGAAUAAAAAUAUAGCUCCAACUAAUGUUACCGAUGGAUUGAAGACGAAAGAGGGGAUGCCUUCCCGGGGCAUCCCCAAGCUUNNNNNNNNNNNNNNNNNNNNNNNNNNNNNNNNNNNNNNNNNNNNNNNNNNNNNNNNNNNNNNNNNNNNNNNNNNNNNNNNNNNNNNNNNNNNNNNNNNNNCGCCCGCCACCGUCACCGUCACGCGCCAGCGCCGUGGACCGCGCCUUUAUUUAUACCGGUGCCGUCGACGGAGCAGCCGGCUGUUACACACGUAGUACGUAGUAACAUCGAGCCCCGUCCCGUUUCGUGGAGGCCGAAGAGGGGGGAGAGAGAGAGAGAGAGNNNNNNNNNNNNNNNNNNNNNNNNNNNNNNNNNNNNNNNNNNNNNNNNNNNNNNNNNNNNNNNNNNNNNNNNNNNNNNNNNNNNNNNNNNNNNNNNNNNNNNNNNNNNNNNNNNNNNNNNNNNNNNAGAGAGAGAGAGAGAGGAGAUCCGGCGCGGAACGGCCAAGGCCAAGGACGCGCUGCUUUGGUGGCGUGGUACGCUGGUAGGGAGUAGUACCUCCGCUGCUGCGCCAUCCCUCGCCCCCACUUACUCGCCGCGCGAGCGCCAUUGAUUGACUGACUGACUGAUUGGAGGGGUGUCGAGGCCGUGGAGCGGGUCUGGGAGUGGCGGAGUGCGGCGCCAUUGCGGAGAGAAUUGGGAGCCGGAGCGGGAGCGGGAGUCGGUGGUUGUCCUAUGUGGCGCUGGUCGGGGCUGUGAGAUCCGCAGCAGCAGCAGCCAUGUCGCGGCCGCUGUACCGGGGCUUCUCUGGUUCCGGCGGCAAGGACCGCUGCGCGGACGAGGACCGCCACUACGANNNNN
rnacentral:lncRNA from 1 species